UACGAAGGGAGCUAGCGUUACUCGGAAUUAUUGGGCGUAAAGCGUGCGUAGGCGGCCGAGAAAGUUGGAUGUGAAAGCCCAGGGCUCAACCCUGGAAUUGCAUCCAAAACUACUUGGCUUGAGUGUCAGAGGGGAUAGUGGAAUUCCUAGUGUAGAGGUGAAAUUCGUAGAUAUUAGGAGGAACACCGGUGGCGAAAGCGACUAUCUGGCUGACAACUGACGCUGUUGCACGAAAGCGUGGGGAGCAAAC
rnacentral:rRNA from 1 species